rnacentral:rRNA from 1 species
UACAGAGGUCCCAAGCGUUGUUCGGAUUCAUUGGGCGUAAAGGGCGCGUAGGCGGGUGGGGUAAGUCUGGUGUGAAAUCUCGGAGCUCAACUUCGAAAUUGCACUGGAUACUGCUCUGCUAGAGGGCUGGAGAGGAGAUCGGAAUUCACGGUGUAGCAGUGAAAUGCGUAGAUAUCGUGAGGAAGACCAGUGGCGAAGGCGGAUCUCUGGACAGCUCCUGACGCUGAGGCGCGAAGGCUAGGGGAGCAAACGGG